ensembl:lncRNA novel transcript
GCUUUGUAACAGAAGAUUUGAAUCAGACAACUGUACUCAACACUAGACAGUGUCGAGAUUAGUUCUGCAAAGAAAUAAGGCUUUGCUGUGCAUGGCAUCAACUGAGCUUUUAAAGAUUACAGAUGAGCAAGGGUUUCAAAAAAAAAAGUUAGAAAAAUCAAAAACAAAGCUUUAUAGCCACUUCAGAAAGCCUGGAUGUUUAACCUGUAAGGAAGUCUGUCAAAUCCUUGUGGAAACCAUAUAGAGAAAAGAUCAAUAGGAUACCUACUGGCUCCAUUAGCUUGAUGUAAAAGGGGGCGAGGGAAGCUGCUCUUCCACAAGAGAAGCUACAUUAUUCCAGGGAUUAUGCGGGAUCAGUUCACUUUGCAGAGAAGAAGAAGAGAAAAUGAAUGAAGAUUCUUGGUGGGCCAAGACUGCAGAGAAAGGGCUUGUCAGGUUGAGCUUUAAUUCCUUUCACUGGGAUUCAUCACUUCCUUAUAAAAUUUCAUUUUCUUGGUUGUUCAGUAGAAGAGUGACAAGAGGACACCACUGCUAUUCUCCAGAUUUUAGAGAAGAACAAUUGAACUUUUUUUUUUAACACAAUGAAGAUAACACCAACAUAUCUUGAACUUGGCAGAUGGAACUAGGCUACUGAUACUCUUCUAGUAAGGACAAAAGUCUGGAGUUAGAAGGCUGUUGGCAGUGGUUCAGAGGACCAGCUCUGUUAAGGCCAGUAAGUCUCCAAUUCUCAAGCUUUUCACCUCAUUGCCACAAGUUUGCUGUUGCAGCUCACAACGUCAUACCCACUUUCAAGAUGGGAAGAAAGGAGACAGAGUGAUUCCAGCCCUGUAUCUCCUUUGUAUAAAGAAAGCAAAAACGUUUUAGAAACCCCAUAACAGAAUUUCACUGAUUUCUAAUUAGCCAAAACUGUAUCACACAACCUUCCUUUGAUAUAAGAGAAGCCAGGAAAGCAAGUAGUUUAGUGGAACACAUAUAAAAAUUCCCAGAGGAGUUGGAAAUUGAUGUUGAAACAGUCAGUCUCAGGGUCUGCCAUAGUGAUGCUACACAAAGAUAAGGUGAAGAAAUUAUUUGGAAACACAGAAGCUUUAGAGUUAACACUGCAAGAUCACAGGAAAGAAUAAUAUGGAUAAAAAUACUCACUAACUCAUACUAACAGCUUUCCAAUUUGGGUUAAAUAAAAGACAAGUUUAGGAUUCAGAUCAUUCCUGUAAUAUAGUUAACUAGAAUGAAAGUUCUAAAGUACCAAAGCAUCAAAUAUUUAAAGUCUAAGGUACCAAAGACCAAAGAGAUAGCUUGAAAGGAUUUUAUUCUUUACAUUUUUGAGUGAGUUCAGUGUUGGCAGAACCUCAUCACUGCCUACAUUAUUGAUGGGGAUAUCUGAAAAGAAGCAGAUGUUUUGCCAAGAAAGGGAAUAUGAAUCAUUGUACCUAAUAAGUUGAGAAUCUUAGGAAACAAUCUACACAGCUCAUGAGUGAAACUAGCAAUUAAUCUUGACAUGUUUUAUAAAAGGUUGGGUUGCUUAAUAUUUCUCCCAAGUAAUUUUUUUAAGUUUGCUGUAGGCAGGAAGGUAAAAAGACUGACAGUGCAGGAAACUGAACUUUUCUUUCCUCCAAAUGCCAACUGUGCCAGUUGGAUAUUGAAAUAUGAGGUACAUCAUGAUAGGAGAUUAGUCAAACUCAUUCACCAAUGUGCCCUCAGUCCCAACUUGCUAGAGGAAAUAAUGAAGUGGCGCCAUUGGAGACAAGGAGUCAUGACCAAUUUAUUGCACCAUUCUGGAUGCUGCAUAUGUAUGCAAAGUUUUAUUUAUAAAGAUAAUUUAUGUGGCAGUUGGGUUAUGUGCUAAUCAGCAAAACACAGUGUCUAAAACUACACCAUGUCACGCUAGCAUGUAGACGGAAAUUCUUUUGUAUUGAUGUACAUAUGAGAGCUUCCCAAGAGGUAUGCUGCAACCAAAAUGCAUCCAUUGAUUCUCCCUCCAUUUGCUUCUUUGAGGAGGAGAAAAUGAAAACCUGAUAUUUUUAAAAUUCAUUGAUGUUGCCAUCCCCAUUUGAGCCU